GAUGAACGCUGGCGGCGUGCCUAAUACAUGCAAGUAGAACGCUGAAGGAGGAGCUUGCUCUUCUGGAUGAGUUGCGAACGGGUGAGUAACGCGUAGGUAACCUGCCUGGUAGCGGGGGAUAACUAUUGGAAACGAUAGCUAAUACCGCAUGACAACAGUUAUUGCAUGAUAACUGUUUAAAAGGGGCAACUGCUCCACUACCAGAUGGACCUGCGUUGUAUUAGCUAGUUGUUGAGGUAACGGCUCACCAAGGCGACGAUACAUAGCAGACCUGAGAGGGGGAUUGGCCACACUGGGAGUGAGACACGGCACAGACUGCUACGGGAGGCAGCAGUAGGGAAACUUCGGGAAUGGAUGGAAGACUGACCGCGAAACGCGGAGGGAGUGAAGAAGGUCUUCGGGUCGGAAAGCUCGGUUGUAAGGGAAGAACGAGCGUGAGAGUGGAACGUUCCCACUGUGACGGUAUCUGAUAAGAAAGGGCCGGCUAACUACGUG
rnacentral:rRNA from 1 species